GGGGCUGAUUGUGUUGCUGGUGCAUGCCUCGGUCUUCAAAACCGCUUGGGAGGCGCGUGCCGUCUCCGCUGGGUUCGAUUCCCAGGCAGUCCCGCCA
rnacentral:tRNA from 2 species